rnacentral:rRNA from 1 species
GAGUGAAGCGGCAACAGCUCAAAUUUGAAAUCUGGCGCAAGCCCGAGUUGUAAUUUGUAGAGGAUGCUUCUGGGUAGCGACCGAUCUAAGUUCCUUGGAACAGGACGUCAUAGAGGGUGAGAAUCCCGUAUGUGACCGGCCCGCACCCUUUACGUAGCUCCUUCGACGAGUCGAGUUGUUUGGGAAUGCAGCUCUAAAUGGGAGGUAAAUUUCUUCUAAAGCUAAAUACCGGCCAGAGACCGAUAGCGCACAAGUAGAGUGAUCGAAAGAUGAAAAGUACUUUGGAAAGAGAGUUAAAAAGCACGUGAAAUUGUUGAAAGGGAAGCGCCUGCAACCAGACUUCGCGGCAGUGUUCCGCCGGUCUUCUGACCGGUUUAUUCUCUGUCGCGAGGCCAUCAUCGUCUGGGCCCGCCGGAUAAGACCUUAGGAAUGUAGCUCACCUUCGGGGGAGUGUUAUAGCCUAUGGUGAUGCGGCGAGGCUCGGGCGAGGUCCGCGCUUCGGCAAGGAUGAUGGCGUAAUGGUUGUCGGCGGCCCGUCUUGAAACACGGACCAAGGAGUCUAACAUCUAUGCGAGUGUUCGGGUGUCAAACCCCUACGCGUAAUGAAAGUGAACGGAGGUGGGAACCGCAAGGUGCACCAUCGACCGAUCCUGAUGUCCUCGGAUGGAUUUGAGUAAGAGCAUAGCUGUUGGGACCCGAAAGAUGGUGAACUAUGCCUGAAUAGGGUGAAGCCAGAGGAAACUCUGGUGGAGGCUCGCAGCGGUUCUGACGUGCAAAUCGAUCGUCAAA